GGAGAUGGAUGAGUCACUGGUGGGCUCCCCGGGCUUCAAACCCGUGCGCGAGGCAUUAACACUGUCUUGGGUGGGUUCGAUUCCCACACAUCUCCGCCA
rnacentral:tRNA from 1 species